GACGAACGCUGGCGGCGUGCUUAACACAUGCAAGUCGAACGGAAAGGCCCUGCUUUUGUGGGGUGCUCGAGUGGCGAACGGGUGAGUAACACGUGAGUAACCUGCCCUUGACUUUGGGAUAACUUCAGGAAACUGGGGCUAAUACCGGAUAGUAGCUCCUGCUGCAUGGUGGGGGUUGGAAAGUUUCGGCGGUUGGGGAUGGACUCGCGGCUUAUCAGCUUGUUGGUGGGGUAGUGGCUUACCAAGGCUUUGACGGGUAGCCGGCCUGAGAGGGUGACCGGCCACAUUGGGACUGAGAUACGGCCAAGACUCCUACGGGAGGCAGCAGUGGGGAAUAUUGCACAAUGGGCGGAAGCCUAAUGCAGCAACGCCGAGUGGGGAAAGACGGCCUUCGGGUUGUAAACCGCUUUCGCCUGUGACGAAGCGUGAGUGAAGGUAAUGGGUAAAGAAGAACAGGCGAACUACG
rnacentral:rRNA from 1 species